rnacentral:misc_RNA from 1 species
GUUGGGAAUAGGGACCCAGUGGCUUGGUUAAGGUCCUUGCCAGCUACAGUCCAAAACAGGGGUGACCAGAAUUUGGCUUGAACAGAAUAAACAGACCAAACCGAUCUAAUUCAGAAGUUCAGUUCAGUUUUUGGUUUGAGCCAAACAAACUAACCUCGCAUUGCCUCUUGCUCGCAGCCCUUUGUGGCUUGCAUUGCUACCUCAUCUGUCAAACCCGAGCCCUACCUUCAGCCAGGGCAGUCCUCCAAUGCAGCGAGCCAGCGACGUUGAUUGUAUCAUGAAUUACAAAUCUAAUUUUGUCGUUAUUUUUCAAUUCAAUAUAUGCUAUGUUGAAAUUUCUUCUUGUU